AGCGAACGCUGGCGGCAGGCUUAACACAUGCAAGUCGAGCGGGCACUUCGGUGUCAGCGGCAGACGGGUGAGUAACACGUGGGAACGUACCCUUCGGUUCGGAAUAACGCUGGGAAACUAGCGCUAAUACCGGAUACGCCCUUUUGGGGAAAGGUUUACUGCCGAAGGAUCGGCGCGCGUCUGAUUAGCGAGUUGGUGGGGUAAUGGCCUACCAAGGCGACGAUCAGUAGCUGGUCUGAGAGGAUGAUCAGCCACACUGGGACUGAGACACGGCCCAGACUCCUACGGGAGGCAGCAGUGGGGAAUAUUGGACAAUGGGCGCAAGCCUGAUCCAGCCAUGCCGCGUGAGUGAUGAAGGCCGUAGGGUUGUAAAGCUCUUUUGUCCGGGACGAUAAUGACGGUACCGGAAGAAUAAGCCCCGGCUAACUUCGUG
rnacentral:rRNA from 1 species